UAGCAAAUAACUUAAUAUCAUCCGCAUAUGCUGAAUAGCUGUCCAGUGAAAACAAUAAAUCUGCUGUAUAUAACAAGAAUAAAAUUGGUCCAAGAACUGAUCCCUGUGGGACCCCACUUAAUACUGGUUUAGAGUACGAAAAUUUACCACAGACUUUUACACAAUAGUUUCGAUUUGAUAGAAACGCUCGGAUCCAAUCAAGCAAAUUUCCUGUUACACCAUAGGACUCCAGUUUUGCUAACAAGAGAUUGUGAGGGACUUUAUCAAAGGCUUUACUAAAAUCAAGGUAAAUUAUGUCUACAGGUUGGUUAGUGUCUAACAUUUUUGUCCAUAGAUUUGUGCAGGAUAGCAAAUUUGUGACAACUGACCUACCUGGUAAAAAGCCGUGCUGAUGCUCAGCAUGUCGACGUGAGACUUACAGGUCUAUAGUUAGCAGGAUCAAGUUUAUCUCCUGACUUGUACAAAGGCGUGAUUGUUGCUUGCAACCACUCGUAGGGCAAAGUGCCUUGUAAGAAUGAUUUUGUCAUCAUUUUGGCAAGUGGGCCCGACAACGAAGCAGCACAAGUUCUCAGGAGUUUGGGAGGUAUCUGAUCCGGACCUGGAGCUGUAUUUAAUUUAAUGGCACAGAGUUGGCUUUUUACCAGAUCCGGAGUAAAAUUAAUAUAAGACAACCCACUAAAUGUAGCAGCAAAACUGUCCGCUAAAGUGUUUGCAGUUUCUGUAUGAUCGGAGCAGAGUAGACCUGAAGCAUUUCGUACUAAAGGGACCGACACACGACUAGAGAUAAAUUUACGUACAUGGGAAUAAAAUAGUUUUGGUUUAUUUAAUAUAGAAUUUUCAUAAUUACACCUGGCUAUUUGUAAAUCAGAUUUUAGUUGGUUAGAAAAUCUUUUAUAAGCAGAAAAAUUAUCUUCAGUAGGCUUCCUUUUAAAUUUUUUCCAUAAUUUAGCUUUGUAUUUUAUUUUGUCAAGCAUGUGUUGAUUUAUCCACGGUUUAUCUUUUCUCAGUCGGUUUGUAAACAGUCUGGAAUUUGUUGUAAUGCAAGUUUGUAAAAUCGAUUUAAAAUGUUUCCAUUGUUCUUCCGCAUUUAGUGAAUCUAAACCAUUCCAGUCGUAAGUCAAGAGACUUUCGUCUAUGCGAGUGUAGUCAACAAUUGAUGUUGUUUUAAUUCUUGCAUUUGGCUCUGAAUAUAUCAUAAUUUGUAACUCAAUUUCGAUUUUUGAAUGAUCAGAUGUACCUACAGGAUUCGAAACGUUUAAAGACGAUACAAGGUUAACGUCAGACAAAAUUACCAAAUCAAGUAAUGAAGGACGUUGUUGGGAUCUAAAUCGUGUAGGUUCAGUGACUAUUUGUGACAAAUUAUUCUCCAAGAGCAAUUCAGAAAAUUGUUUUUCGAUGAUUGUUUGACCUGUUGUGUUUUUAGCAGACCAGUCUAUACAUGGAAAAUUGAAAUCUCCCAUGAUAAUUAAGUUAGGAUACUGAUUAAUAGUUGAUUGUAUGGUAUUAAAUAGAUUUUUAUCAUUUUCGUGAUUGUUAAAAGACGCUCCUGUUGGUGGUCUGUAAAUACAUGCUAUAACAAAGGUUUGUUCAUUUCCUUCAAAUUUUAACCAUAGAGAAUCAUAAGGUUUAACAGAUAUGCAAAUUUGAGUAAUUUUAAAAAAUUUUGAAAUUUUAAUUUUAUCUACAUAAAAACACACACCGCCACCUUUUUGAGAUAGGCGAUCAUCUCUGUAAAUAGAGUAAUUUUCAAUGUGUACAGCAUCAUCAGAGAUAGACGGAUUAAGCCAAGUCUCCGUGAGUGCGAUAAUAGAAGGUCUAAAUUCAGUUACUUCUAAUAACAAAUCAUUAAAUUUUGAAGAUAAAGAUGCGAUAUUCGUAUACAGAAGAGCCAUUGAACAAGGUAAUUUCCAGAGGAAACAACAACAACCACAUACACCCAGAUAUCAAAUUCAACAAUCAACACCAAGAAUCAACCACUGAAAAUGAAUCCCAAAGGCAAGAGCACGCAGAGACACGACUGCACUCUCA